GGAAAAUAAAACAUCAGCUGCCUUCUCCAACGUUUCAUUAUUCUUCUUCACUUUUUCAUUUUCCAAACGCACACAUUUUUAUCACUUGCAGUCAAGCCUAUUCGAUUCUUCUGCUUUCCUAAAAUCACAAGGUGCCUUCUAACUAUCAUCAUUCUUCCAUCAUAAUUCUUUUUGAUUUGUCUUGAAUUGGGCCUUAAUUUUGUUCUUAAUGUAAAGCAUUUAUGUCUACUUUUGUCUUGAUUAUUUGUGAAUUUUCAGCCUUAAUUUUUACUCUCCGUUAAAUCAUAGGGUUUAUUUAAAGUUUAGAAUGUUUAUAUAUCUACUUGAUUAGUAAAUGGUUUAUCAAAAUUAGGGCUUUUUUAGUUCAGAUUGUUGAUUCGAGUUUCAACUCUUUAUUAGGGUAUUAUAUGCUUCUAAAUGAGCAAUCUUUUGUUGGAAUUAUUUUGGUGCUAGUGCUGUGAUGUGGGUUUUACUAAUUUAAUUACAUGAGCCAACAGGGGCUGAGAAUUGUAAAUGAAUUAAGAGGAAGUGUAUGGGUAUGAUUGUGAUUGAAAUGGGUUUGUUUCUUUGACAUUGAAUCAGUAAAGCUUUUAACUUUUUGUAACAAGUUUAGCUUUUGUAAGUGUACUGUGUAUAAAAAGGAUCUUUGCUUUGUAAGUGAAUUGGGGAAGUUCAUUUUAACACUGAAUGAAAGAAAUCGAUAAUGUUUUUAAAAUUUACAGGUUACAUAGAACCACAACGACUUGUCUGAUGGUUCUCGUAAUGAUAAUUUUCAUGUUUCAAACACCCGAAGAUAUGAUGCUCUGUUAUAGUUGUUUCUGUAUUCAUAGGGGAAUUUAUUAGAUAGACCUUUAUUGAACAAACAGAUGGAAAACUUUAUAAAACAAUGUCUUGUUAUUCAAAAAUAUGUUGAAUAUUUUUGGAUGAUACAAAUUUUGUGUUGAAACUUUCACAUGCUAAUGAAGCCAAUAUUUGUAUCAUUGUUGUAUGGUUCUUUUAAAGCAAUUAAAUAAAAAUGAUUACUGGUUACAUAUACGUGUGUUUAAUGCUGUAAAUGCACAAAAUAUAUGUCACGUGUAUAACCAAUUCUUAGAGUUGUCAUAUUUGACACCUUGCAGUCUUUUUUGUUGCUAGAAUUAUAGCAGAAACAUAAUUAGAGAGGUAUAAGAUUGUUGAGUGAGUAGAGAUAGAAUAGGUGGGUAAGAGAGUAUUAAUGGGAAUUAGAAGAGUAAUAGUGGGAGUAUAGUUGUUUCCAUGACCAACUAUAAUGAAGCAAACAAGGAGUAAAAAGAAAUAAAAAUUAAAAAGAGGAAAAAGAAAGUAGUUAGAGGUCGGGCAAUUGUUGUGGCAGCACAAAUUGUCAUGUUCUUUUACAAAGGUUACUUCCUAUUGGCAUUCGGGGAUGCUUACGAAAGGAUAUCUCUUCUACUUUAGCCGAGUUGGGAGAGUUUUUUAAACAACUAUGUUGUAAGACAUUAAAGGUGGAGGAACUUAUGAAGCUGCAAGGAGAUAUCAUUUCAAUACUUUGUAAACUUGAAAUGAUUUUUCCACCGGCAUUCUUUGAUGUAAUGGUCCAUCUAGCUGUUCAUCUACCAUCCGAGGCCAUUCUUGGUGGUCCAGUCCAAUUUAGAUGGAUAUUCCGUAUUGAGUGGUUUUUGGGACGUCUUAAGAAAUAUGUUCGAAAUAGAGCUCAUCCAGAGGGUUCAAUCGCUGAGGCAUACAUUGCCAAUGAAUGCUUGACAUUUUGCUCAAUGUAUUUGAGCGAUAUUGAAACCGAAUUCAAUAGAGAAGAGAGAAACAAUGAUAUUGUGAAGGGUGGUGGAUUGUCAGUUUUUUCGCACAAGUUGAGACCAAUUGGAGCAGCAAAAUAUGUUGACAUGGAGAAGUAGAUUGAUGUGUGUCAUUGGUAUAUCCUAAAUAAUUGUGCAGAGGUGGAGGUUUUCAUUGAGUACUUUAUUGUAGAAGAUGGUUUCAGUUUUAUGUCGCCGCUCUAAGGCUAAAGGGAAUUCUGCAACUAGUCCUUCUCAUGCAUCAAAUAGGGACUUGUUUGACACGUGUAUACCUAGACGUCCAGCAGCUUCAACAAUUCGGUUUUUUGCUUCUUUUGACAUGCAACUACUAUAGGAGUGGUAACUUUAUUGACAUCCAAGUAGUGAAGAAUAUAGUAUAUAUUUUGACAUCCAACUAACAAAGAAAGUAUAGUUAUUUUAUACUAUUGUUUAUAUGUUAGUUAUAGUUGGAUGUGUUUAUGAAACUAUUGGCUUAUAUAUAUAUAUAAUAUUUUGUUA